rnacentral:rRNA from 1 species
UACGUAGGGUGCAAGCGUUAAUCGGAAUUACUGGGCGUAAAGCGUGCGCAGGCGGUGAUGUAAGGACCGAUGUGAAAUCCCCGGGCUUAACCUGGGAACUGCAUUGGUGACUGCAUUGCUGGAGUAUGGCAGAGGGGGGUGGAAUUCCACGUGUAGCAGUGAAAUGCGUAGAGAUGUGGAGGAACACCGAUGGCGAAGGCAGCCCCCUGGGCCAAUACUGACGCUCAUGCACGAAAGCGUGGGGAGCAAACAGG